rnacentral:rRNA from 1 species
CUGGCGAGCGCCUGUCAGAGGACCUACAAAAUCUGUGUUAGUGUUGUCUGAGUAUCAUUUAAUAAUUAAAACUUUCAACAACGGAUCUCUUGGUUCUGGCAUCGAUGAAGAACGCAGCGAAAGCGAUAAGUAAUGUGAAUUGCAGAAUUCAGUGAAUCAUCGAAUCUUUGAACGCACAUUGCGCCCUCUGGUAUUCCGGAGGGCAUGCCUGUUCGAGCGUCAUAAGACCACUCAAGCCCAGCUUGGUGUUGGGACGCGCCCCGGCGCUCCUCAAAAUCAGUGGCGGCUCGGCUCAGCUUCAUGCGUAGUAAAAUGUCUCGCUAUGGACGCUGGGCUGGCGCCUGCCAGAAGCCUAAUUUUUACAGGUUGACCUCGGAUCAGGUAGG